rnacentral:lncRNA from 1 species
AGAGUCCAGUGGACCAGGUCCAGGAAACAAGCUCUCCCUCUCUCCCGAGCUCCCACGUGUCGACCCGGUCCCACGUGCGAGCGCCCUCCACCGAGUCGCCACGUGUCGCCCUCUCGUCUCCGUCGCGUCCCCGCCGUGUCGACUCCCGCGCCGUCCCCGCACCCCGAACGGGCCUCCGCAGGUCAUUUAACCCGUACUCCCCCACUAACCCCUUUCUAAAAUCAACUACUAAUUAAUGUAACUCUUUCCCUCUAUAUAGUAAUAGUAAAACUAAAAUUAUAAUAAAAUAAAAAAAAAAUAUAAAAAUAUAAAAAUAUAAAAAUCCUACCCUCCGUCUCAAGUGUCGACCGACGUCGAAGGGUUCGCGUUAUUAUUCCUCCCCCAAUUCGUCCCCGACGACGAAUCUCGCGCAUAAACCUCCUCCUCCUCCUCAUCCUCCUCCUCCUCCUN